rnacentral:rRNA from 1 species
AACGAACGCUGGCGGCAUGCCUAACACAUGCAAGUCGAACGGGACCUUCGGGUCUAGUGGCGCACGGGUGCGUAACGCGUGGGAACCUGCCCUUAGGUUCGGAAUAACUCCCCGAAAGGGGUGCUAAUACCGGAUAAUGUCUUCGGACCAAAGAUUUAUCGCCUUUGGAUGGGCCCGCGUUGGAUUAGCUAGUUGGUAGGGUAAAAGCCUACCAAGGCGACGAUCCAUAGCUGGUCUGAGAGGAUGAUCAGCCACACUGGGACUGAGACACGGCCCAGACUCCUACGGGAGGCAGCAGUGGGGAAUAUUGGACAAUGGGCGAAAGCCCGAUCCAGCAAUGCCGCGUGAGUGAUGAAGGCCUUAGGGUUGUAAAGCUCUUUUACCCGGGAUGAUAAUGACAGUACCGGGAGAAUAAGCUCCGGCUAACUCCGUG